CAUGCAAGUCGUACGAGAGUUUUUAACUCAAGUGGCGGACGGGUGAGUAACACGUAAGAAUUUACCUUUAGGAGGGGGACAACAAUAGGAAACUGCUGCUAAUACCCCAUAUGCUUUCGAGUGAAACGGAUUUUUCCGCCUGAAGAGAAGCUUGCGGCUGAUUAGCUUGUUGGUGAGGUAAUGGCUUACCAAGGCGACGAUCAGUAUCUGGUUUGAGAGGACGAUCAGACACACUGGAACUGAGACACGGUCCAGACUCCUACGGGAGGCAGCAGUGGGGAAUUUUCCGCAAUGGGCGAAAGCCUGACGGAGCAAUACCGCGUGAGGGAUGACGGCCUAUGGGUUGUAAACCUCUUUUUUCAGGGAGGAAUCAAUGACGUGUACCUGAAGAAUAAGCAUCGGCUAACUCCGUGCCAGCAGCCGCGGUAAGACGGAGGAUGCAAGUGUUAUCCGGAAUCACUGGGCGUAAAGCGUCUGUAGGUGGUUUAAUAAGUCAACUGUUAAAUCUUGAGGCUCAACUUCAAAAUCGCAGUCGAAACUAUUAGACUAGAGUAUAGUAGGGGUAAAGGGAAUUUCCAGUGGAGCGGUGAAAUGCGUAGA
rnacentral:rRNA from 1 species